rnacentral:rRNA from 1 species
UACGGAGGAUGCGAGCGUUAUCCGGAUUUAUUGGGUUUAAAGGGUGCGUAGGCGGAUUUUUAAGUCAGCGGUAAAAUUGAGAGGCUCAACCUCUUCCCGCCGUUGAAACUGGUGGUCUUGAGUGGAUGAGAAGUACGCGGAAUGCGAGGUGUAGCGGUGAAAUGCAUAGAUAUCACGCAGAACUCCGAUUGCGAAGGCAGCGUACCGGCAUCCAACUGACGCUGAGGCACGAAAGCGUGGGGAUCAAACAGG